rnacentral:rRNA from 1 species
CAGUAGCCACGGUAAUACGGAGGGGGCUAGCGUUGUUCGGAAUUACUGGGCGUAAAGCGCACGUAGGCGGCUUGGUAAGUUAGAGGUGAAAGCCCGGAGCUCAACUCCGGAAUUGCCUUUAAGACUGCCGAGCUAGCAGGUGAGAGAGGUAAGUGGAAUUCCGAGUGUAGAGGUGAAAUUCGUAGAUAUUCGGAAGAACACCAGUGGCGAAGGCGGCUUACUGGCUCAUACUGGACGCUGAGGUGCGAAAGCGUGGGGAGCAAACAGGAUUAGAUACCCGAGUAGUCCCUGUCUCUUAUAC